rnacentral:rRNA from 1 species
GACGAACGCUGGCGGCGUGCCUAAUACAUGCAAGUAGAACGCUGAAGGAGGAGCUUGCUUCUCCGGAUGAGUUGCGAACGGGUGAGUAACGCGUAGGUAACCUGCCUGGUAGCGGGGGAUAACUAUUGGAAACGAUAGCUAAUACCGCAUAACAGUAGAUAUUGCAUGAUAUCUGCUUGAAAGGUGCAAUUGCAUCACUACCAGAUGGACCUGCGUUGUAUUAGCUAGUUGGUGAGGUAACGGCUCACCAAGGCGACGAUACAUAGCCGACCUGAGAGGGGGAUCGGCCACACUGGGACUGAGACACGGCCCAGACUCCUGCGGGAGGCAGCAGUAGGGAAUCUUCGGCAAUGGACGGAAGUCUGACCGAGCAACGCCGCGUGAGUGAAGAGGGUUUUCGGAUCGUAAAGCUCUGUUGUAAGAGAAGAACGAGUGUGAGAGUGGAAAGUUCACACUGUGACGGUAGCUUACCGGAAAGGGACGGCUAGCUACGUG